GACGAACGCUGGCGGCGUGCCUAAUACAUGCAAGUCGAACGAGAGCGACCGGUGCUUGCACUGGUCAAUCUAGUGGCGAACGGGUGAGUAACACGUGGGUAACCUGCUCAUCAGAGGGGGAUAACAUCCGGAAACGGAUGCUAAAACCGCAUAGGUCUUCGAGCCGCAUGGCUCGAAGAGGAAAAGAGGCGCAAGCUUCUGCUGAUGGAUGGACCCGCGGUGCAUUAGCUAGUUGGUGAGGUAACGGCUCACCAAGGCCGUGAUGCAUAGCCGACCUGAGAGGGUGAUCGGCCACAUUGGGACUGAGACACGGCCCAAACUCCUACGGGAGGCAGCAGUAGGGAAUCUUCCGCAAUGGACGCAAGUCUGACGGAGCAACGCCGCGUGAGUGAAGAAGGUUUUCGGAUCGUAAAACUCUGUUGUUAGAGAAGAACAAGUGCUAGAGUAACUGUUAGCGCCUUGACGGUAUCUAACCAGAAAGCCACGGCUAACUACGUG
rnacentral:rRNA from 1 species